rnacentral:rRNA from 1 species
GAUGAACGCUGGCGGCGUGCCUAAUACAUGCAAGUCGAGCGAACAGACGAGGAGCUUGCUCCUCUGACGUUAGCGGCGGACGGGUGAGUAACACGUGGAUAACCUACCUAUAAGACUGGGAUAACUUCGGGAAACCGGAGCUAAUACCGGAUAACAUGUUGAACCGCAUGGUUUAACAGUGAAAGACGGUCUUGCUGUCACUUAUAGAUGGAUCCGCGCCGCAUUAGCUAGUUGGUAAGGUAACGGCUUACCAAGGCAACGAUGCGUAGCCGACCUGAGAGGGUGAUCGGCCACACUGGAACUGAGACACGGUCCAGACUCCUACGGGAGGCAGCAGUAGGGAAUCUUUCGCAAUGGGCGAAAGCCUGACGGAGCAACGCCGCGUGAGAGAAGAAGGUCUUCGGAUCGUAAAACUCUGUUAUUAGGGAAGAACAAAUGUGUAAGUAACUAUGCACGUCUUGACGGUACCUAAUCAGAAAGCCACGGCUAACUACGU